GCUAGGAACCCGCAUGUUGCAUCGGCAAGAGAUUUCAGAGCAAGAUUGUGAUUGAUGGUGUCCAGCCUAACAAAGGAUGGUGGUUCUUGUCCUGUGAUGAUUGUAAUUGUAAGGCGUAUGAGGAAGGAUCUGUCUAUAGGUGUAACAGAGAAAGGUGUUCUUGCAAGAGUGCAAGCCCAAGGUUUUGUCUCCCUUUGGUGGCGU